UAUACAUGCAGUCGAACGAACUUCCGUUAAUUGAUUAUGACGUACUUGUACUGAUUGAGAUUUUAACACGAAGUGAGUGGCGAACGGGUGAGUAACACGUGGGUAACCUGCCCAGAAGUAGGGGAUAACACCUGGAAACAGAUGCUAAUACCGUAUAACAGAGAAAACCGCAUGGUUUUCUUUUAAAAGAUGGCUCUGCUAUCACUUCUGGAUGGACCCGCGGCGUAUUAGCUAGUUGGUGAGGUAAAGGCUCACCAAGGCAGUGAUACGUAGCCGACCUGAGAGGGUAAUCGGCCACAUUGGGACUGAGACACGGCCCAGACUCCUACGGGAGGCAGCAGUAGGGAAUCUUCCACAAUGGACGCAAGUCUGAUGGAGCAACGCCGCGUGAGUGAAGAAGGGUUUCGGCUCGUAAAGCUCUGUUGUUAAAGAAGAACGUGGGUAAGAGUAACUGUUUACCCAGUGACGGUAUUUAACCAGAAAGCCACGGCUAACUACGUGCCAGCAGCCGCGGUAAUACGUAGGUGGCAAGCGUUAUCCGGAUUUAUUGGGCGUAAAGCGAGCGCAGGCGGUCUUUUAAGUCUAAUGUGAAAGCCUUCGGCUCAACCGAAGAAGUGCAUUGGAAACUGGGAGACUUGAGUGCAGAAGAGGACAGUGGAACUCCAUGUGUAGCGGUGAAAUGCGUAGAUAUAUGGAAGAACACCAGUGGCGAAGGCGGCUGUCUGGUCUGCAACUGACGCUGAGGCUCGAAAGCAUGGGUAGCGAACAGGAUUAGAUACCCUGGUAGUCCAUGCCGUAAACGAUGAUUACUAAGUGUUGGAGGGUUUCCGCCCUUCAGUGCUGCAGCUAACGCAUUAAGUAAUCCGCCUGGGGAGUACGACCGCAAGGUUGAAACUCAAAAGAAUUGA
rnacentral:rRNA from 1 species